rnacentral:lncRNA from 15 species
AUGCUGGAUUUCGUCUCCUGCCUCGCCGUAUCCAUCUGCUGUGGAUCAAACACGCAGAAAGGGGCCAAGAAGCUCAAUGUUCCACGUAAUGGAAGCAUGAGUUUCCCCAACCGCUGGACAAAGCACUUGCAGCGCUGGUUUCCUCAGCCCGCUUCACGCUUGCCUGAGCCUGAACACAUGACAAGUUACUAUUGUUUUCUCAGCCUGGAAUCAUUGCACGCUUCUCUUCUUUUCUGUCGGAGGACCAUGUGAGGCUCUUGAAUACGCCUCCAAACUGACGAUCCUUCAUUGAAGUUCUUCCGCUGCUUUGUACUGCUGCGUUUUAAUGCAUGCAAAUGUGUACUCCUUCUCUCCAAAGAUUAAAAAGUACACUUCAACUCCAACUUUAUGUGAUAACUUGUUUAAAUUCCUUCAGGUCUGCAUGAAUUUCUCUAAGGUUUCAGCAUUAAACACCCUCCCAUGCUUCACUGCAACGCAAUGUGUCUGAAGUGAAUUGCAACUGACAUGACCAAUGAAUAAUACAAAUAGUGUAUAUAUGCUGUUAUCAAUUAUGGACAACUUUGCAAAGCUGAAUGCUGAGCAUAGAGGUCUGUGGUGAACAUAUGUGUUUACGUACAUUACUUUUUAGGAGGUUAUAUUGGUGAUUGCCUGUUUUGAAAUAUGGACUUCUUUUUAAACUGUAAUGACACUGUAGG